GACAGAGGGUGCAAACGUUGUUCGGAUUUACUGGGCGUAAAGCGCGUGUAGGCGGCUUAGUAAGUUGGAUGUGAAAUCCCACGGCUCAACCGUGGACGUGCAUCCAAAACUACGUCGCUGGAGUCUCGGAGAGGAAGGUGGAAUGCUUGGUGUAGAGGUGAAAUUCGUAGAUAUCAAGCAGAACACCUGCGGCGAAGGCGGCCUUCUGGACGAUGACUGACGCUGAGACGCGAAAGCGUGGGGAGCAAACAGG
rnacentral:rRNA from 1 species